rnacentral:tRNA from 1 species
CACAGGGUGGAGCAGCUCGGUAGCUCGUUGGGCUCAUAACCCAAAGGUCGCAGGUUCAAAUCCUGCCCCUGUAACCA